ncrna:Petromyzon marinus (sea lamprey) microRNA pma-mir-204 precursor
UGGAGGGAUUCCCUUUGUCAUCCUAUGCCUGUAAUCGCCUCUAAGGCAAGGACAGCAAAGGGGACCCCUGU